GAUGAACGUUGGCGGCGUGCCUAAUACAUGCAAGUCGAACGAAGACUGUAGUAAUACUGUCUUAGUGGCGAACGGGUGAGUAACGCGUGGGCAACCUGCCCUCUAGCCUGGGAUAACAGUGCGAAAGUGCUGCUAACACCGGAUAAGCUCACACUCGGACAUCCGAGAGUGAGAAAAGUUUACACUAGAGGAUGGGCCCGCGUCCCAUUAGCUAGUUGGUGAGGUAACGGCCCACCAAGGCGACGAUGGGUAGCCGACCUGAGAGGGUGAUCGGCCACACUGGGACUGAGACACGGCCCAGACUCCUACGGGAGGCAGCAGUAGGGAAUUUCCGCAAUGGGCGCAAGCCUGACGGAGCAACGCCGCGUGAGGGAUGAAGGUUUUCGGAUCGUAAACCUCUGUCUUCAGGGACGAUAAUGACGGUACCUGAGGAGGAAGCCACGGCUAACUACGUG
rnacentral:rRNA from 1 species